rnacentral:rRNA from 1 species
UCUACGGCCAUACCACCCUGAACGCACCCGAUCUCGUCUGAUCUCGAAAGUUCAAUGAGAUGGGAGAGCAUACACAUAGAAAGAUUAAAGAGGUAAGAA